UUCCGGUUGAUCCUGCCGGACCUUACUGCUAUCGGGGUGGGACUAAGACAUGCGAGUCGAGCGUCUCUAGCUAUGUUGAGACGCGGCAGACGGCUCAGUAACACGUGGCUAACCUACCCUCAGGACGAGGAUAAACCCGGGAAACUGGGGCUAAUACUCGAUAUGUGAGAAUGUCUGGAAUGAUUUCUCACUCAAAGGGCCUUGGGAACAUGCUUCCAAUGUCGCCUGGGGAUGGGGCCGCGUCCGAUCAGGUUGUUGGUGAGGUAAUGGCUCACCAAGCCUAUAACCGGUACGGGCCGUGAGAGCGGUAGCCCGGAGAUGGGUACUGAGACAAGGACCCAGGCCCUACGGGGCGCAGCAGUCGCGAAAACUCCGCAAUGCACGAAAGUGUGACGGGGCUACCCCGAGUGCCAUCCGCUGAGGAUGGCUUUUCCUUGGUAUAACUAGCCGAGGGAAUAAGGAGAGGGCAAGACUGGUGUCAGCCGCCGCGGUAAUACCAGCUCUCCGAGUGGUAGGGAUGAUUAUUGGGCUUAAAGCGUCCGUAGCCGGCUUAGCAAGUCUCCUGUUAAAUUCAGCGACCUAAUCGUUGAGCCGCGGGAGAUACUACUAUGCUAGGAGGCGGGAGAGGUCGACGGUACUUCUGGGGUAGGGGUGAAAUCCUAUAAUCCCAGGAGGACCACCAGUGGCGAAGGCUGUCGACUAGAACGCGCUCGACGGUGAGGGACGAAAGCUGGGGGAGCGAACCGGAUUAGAUACCCGGGUAGUCCCAGCCGUAAACGAUGCGGGCUAGGUGUUGGAAUGGCUACGUGCCAUUUCAGUGCCGCAGGGAAGCCAUUAAGCCCGCCGCCUGGGGAGUACGGCCGCAAGGCUGAAACUUAAAGGAAUUGGCGGGGGAGCACCACAAGGCGUGAAGCUUGCGGUUCAAUUGGAGUCAACGCCGGG
rnacentral:rRNA from 1 species